GUGCCAGCCGCCGCGGUAAUACGUAGGUGGCAAGCGUUAUCCGGAAUUAUUGGGCGUAGAGCGCGCGUAGGCGGUUUUUUAAGUCUGAUGUGAAAGCCCACGGCUCAACCGUGGAGGGUCAUUGGAAACUGGAAAACUUGAGUGCGGAAGAGGAAAGUGGAAUUCCAUGUGUAGCGGUGAAAUGCGCAGAGAUAUGGAGGAACACCAGUGGCGAAGGCGACUUUCUGGUCUGUAACUGACGCUGAUGUGCGAAAGCGUGGGGAUCAAACAGG
rnacentral:rRNA from 1 species